ensembl:snoRNA
GAUCAAUUACUAAAAAGUUUUACUACAGACUUUUAUAACUAUGAGGGUUUCUACACUUGAUCUCAGAAUG